UGGGCUGUGGCUCAGAGGUAGAGUGCUCGCCUAGCACAUGUGAGGCCCUGGGUUUGAUCCUCAGCACCACAU
rnacentral:tRNA from 1 species